CAGCACUUAGUAAACAUUCAUAUCCCCUGCCUCCAGAGUUCCUUAAAGUUCUAAUUGAUGGAACGCCUCCUCUGCACCAGCACCUGGACAGAGACGGAGUUUCACCGUGUUAGCCAGAAUGGUCUCGAUCUCCUGACCUCGUGAUCCGCCUGCCUCGGCCUCCCAAAGUGCUAGGAUUACAGGCGUGAGCCACCGUGCCCAGCCUAUUUCAACUUAAGUGAAAAUCUCACCUGUGGCCGGCGGCUACUGUGCUGGACAGCACAG
rnacentral:sRNA from 1 species